rnacentral:rRNA from 1 species
GAUGAACGCUGGCUACAGGCUUAACACAUGCAAAGUCGAGGGGAAACGACGGGGAAGCUUGCUUCCCCGGGCGUCGACCGGCGCACGGGUGAGUAACGCGUAUCCAACCUGCCUCUGACUGAGGGAUAACCCGUCGAAAGUCGGCCUAAUACCUCACGGCAUCGUCUGCGGGCAUCCAACGACGAUUAAAGAUUUCAUCGGUCAGAGAUGGGGAUGCGUCUGAUUAGCUUGUGGCGGGGUAACGGCCCACCAAGGCGACGAUCAGUAGGGGUUCUGAGAGGAAGGUCCCCCACAUGGAACUGAGACACGGUCCAAACUCCUACGGGAGGCAGCAGUGAGGAAUAUUGGUCAAUGGGCGAGAGCCUGAACCAGCCAAGUAGCGUGCAGGAUGACGGCCCUAUGGGUUGUAAACUGCUUUUAUGCGGGGAUAAAGUGAGGGACGUGUCCGUCAUUGCAGGUACCGCAUGAAUAAGGACCGGCUAAUUCCGUGCCAGCAGCCGCGGUAAUACGGAAGGUCCGGGCGUUAUCCGGAUUUAUUGGGUUUAAAGGGAGCGUAGGCCGUGGAUUAAGCGUGUUGUGAAAUGCAGGUGCUCAACGUCUGCACUGCAGCGCGAACUGGUCCACUUGAGUGUGCGCAACGCAGGCGGAAUUCGUCGUGUAGCGGUGAAAUGCUUAGAUAUGACGAAGAACUCCGAUUGCGAAGGCAGCUUGCGGGAGCACAACUGACGCUGAAGCUCGAAAGUGCGGGUAUCGAACAGG